UUAUGUUGCAAGAUUCCCGAUAGGAUUUACAUCUCGUGUAAAGAUGCCUUGUAACCGACUAUAUUUAGGGGGAAUGAAAGAUG
rfam:Vagococcus teuberi strain DSM 21459, complete genome.